rnacentral:rRNA from 1 species
UACGAAGGAUGCAAGCGUUAUCCGGAUUUACUGGGUUUAAAGGGUGUGUAGGCGGGUCUUUAAGUCAGUGGUGAAAUCUCCGAGCUCAACUUGGGAACUGCCAUUGAUACUAUUGAUCUUGAAUUCUGUUGAGGUUGGCGGAAUAAGUCAUGUAGCGGUGAAAUGCAUAGAUAUGACUUAGAACACCGAUUGCGAAGGCAGCUAACUAAGCAGAUAUUGACGCUGAGGCACGAAAGCGUGGGGAUCAAACAGG